UACGUAGGGACCAAGCGUUGUUCGGAUUUACUGGGCGUAAAGGGCGCGUAGGCGGUCAGCACAAGUCAGUUGUGAAAUCUCCGGGCUUAACUCGGAAAGGUCAACUGAUACUGUGCGACUAGAGUGCAGAAGGGGCAACUGGAAUUCUCGGUGUAGCGGUGAAAUGCGUAGAUAUCGAGAGGAACACCUGCGGCGAAGGCGGGUUGCUGGGCCGACACUGACGCUGAUGCGCGAAAGCCAGGGGAGCGAACGGG
rnacentral:rRNA from 1 species